AUUGAACGCUGGCGGCAUGCCUUACACAUGCAAGUCGAACGGUAACAGGUUAAGCUGACGAGUGGCGAACGGGUGAGUAAUACAUCGGAACGUGCCCAGUAGUGGGGGAUAGCCCGGCGAAAGCCGGAUUAAUACCGCAUACGACCUAAGGGUGAAAGGGGGGGAUCGCAAGACCUCUCGCUAUUGGAGCGGCCGAUGUCAGAUUAGCUAGUUGGUGGGGUAAAAGCUCACCAAGGCGACGAUCUGUAGCUGGUCUGAGAGGACGACCAGCCACACUGGGACUGAGACACGGCCCAGACUCCUACGGGAGGCAGCAGUGGGGAAUUUUGGACAAUGGGCGCAAGCCUGAUCCAGCCAUGCCGCGUGCGGGAAGAAGGCCUUCGGGUUGUAAACCGCUUUUGUCAGGGAAGAAAUCCUUUGGGUUAAUACCUCGGGGGGAUGACGGUACCUGAAGAAUAAGCACCGGCUAACUACGU
rnacentral:rRNA from 1 species